rnacentral:lncRNA from 1 species
AAUAAAUAAAUAAAUAAAUAAAUAAGAAGAAGAGAGAGAUGGAAAGAAAAGAAACUCAGUUAAUAUAAUCUUUUUCUUUCUUCCAUGUCAUUUAUUUGUGCAUCAUUGUUAUGUACACAAUGAUAUACAAAUGGCAUUACUUGAAAAGAAUAUACCACGUUUAAAUUUCAAUCGGUGUUUUAUAAGAAAAUGAAGAGUUAUAUAUGAAAUAUAUUGGACCUUUCUGAAGAAAAGAUUUCGAUUGCAAGUAACACUUACUGCCAAGUUGUCUGCUGUUGGCCAUUGAUAGAGUGAGAACAAGACUAAGCACCAGAACCAAAUUGAGUACUAUUUUGUGAGCCUGAGCCAUGAUAUAAUGUAAUUCUCUUUGUUGCCUUAUACCUGUAUAAUAAUUGUGGCUUUUUGAGAUGGUUAUUUAUAGACAGAAGCUUUUGAAAGAACACCCCUUUAGGCACAUAGAUAUGGUAGCAAAGUCGAGUGCAGGCCGGUUAAUCAAAUUUUCUAAUAUACUACAACUUUGUACUUUUCAGUGUUGUAGUUAUAAGUUGAUGUUUUAA